rnacentral:tRNA from 1 species
UGUAUGGUUCCCGAGCGGCCAAAGGGAGCAGACUGUAAAUCUGCCGUCAUCGACUUCGAAGGUUCGAAUCCUUCCCCCACCACCA